rnacentral:rRNA from 1 species
UACGGGGGGAGCAAGCGUUGUUCGGAUUUACUGGGCGUAAAGGGCGGGUAGGCGGCCACCGCAAGUCAGUUGUGAAAUCUCUGGGCUUAACCCGGAAAGGUCAACUGAUACUGCGGGGCUAGAGUGCAGAAGGGGCAACUGGAAUUCUCGGUGUAGCGGUGAAAUGCGUAGAUAUCGAGAGGAACACCUGCGGCGAAGGCGGGUUGCUGGGCUGACACUGACGCUGAACUGCGAAAGCUAGGGGAGCGAACGGG